rnacentral:rRNA from 1 species
CAGCCGCCACGGUAAUACGUAGGGUGCGAGCGUUAAUCGGAAUUACUGGGCGUAAAGCGUGCGCAGGCGGUUAUAUAAGACAGAUGUGAAAUCCCCGGGCUCAACCUGGGAACUGCAUUUGAGACUGUAUGGCUAGAGUGUGUCAGAGGGGGGUAGAAUUCCACGUGUAGCAGUGAAAUGCGUAGAUAUGUGGAGGAAUACCGAUGGCGAAGGCAGCCCCCUGGGAUAACACUGACGCUCAUGCACGAAAGCGUGGGGAACAAACAGGAUUAGAUACCCCAGUAGUCCCUGUCUCUUAUAC